rnacentral:rRNA from 1 species
GCCCCAGUAACGGCGAGUGAAGCGGCAACAGCUCAAAUUUGAAAUCUGGCGCAAGCCCGAGUUGUAAUUUGUAGAGGAUGCUUCUAGGUAGCGACCGGUCUAAGUUCCUUGGAACAGGACGUCAUAGAGGGUGAGAAUCCCGUAUGUGACCGGCCCGCACCUUCUACGUAGCUCCUUCGACGAGUCGAGUUGUUUGGGAAUGCAGCUCUAAAUGGGAGGUAAAUUUCUUCUAAAGCUAAAUACCGGCCAGAGACCGAUAGCGCACAAGUAGAGUGAUCGAAAGAUGAAAAGCACUUUGGAAAGAGAGUUAAAAAGCACGUGAAAUUGUUGAAAGGGAAGCGCUUACAACCAGACUUCUGGGCGGUGUUCCGCCGGUCUUUUGACCGGUCUACUCGCCGUCCCGAGGCCAACAUCAUCUGGGACCGCUGGAUAAGACCUCAGGAAUGUAGCUUCCCUCGGGAAGUGUUAUAGCCUGUGGUGAUGCAGCGCGUCUCGGGUGAGGUCCGCGCUUCGGCAAGGAUGUUGGCGUAAUGGUUGUCAGCGGCCCGUCUUGAAACACGGACCAAGGAGUCUAACAUCUAUGCGAGUGUUCGGGUGUCAAACCCCUACGCGUAAUGAAAGUGAACGGAGGUGGGAAGCGUAAGCUGCACCAUCGACCGAUCCUGAUGUCCUCGGAUGGAUUUGAGUAAGAGCAUAGCUGUUGGGACCCGAAAGAUGGUGAACUAUGCCUGAAUAGGGUGAAGCCAGAGGAAACUCUGGUGGAGGCUCGCAGCGGUUCUGACGUGCAAAUCGAUCGUCAAAUUUGGGUAUAGGGGCGAAAGACUAAUC